rnacentral:lncRNA from 12 species
UUGUUAUGGAGAUGCCGGCCGCCCCGAGGAGCGCGAGGCCCCGGGAAGUCCCCAGGAGGGUUUCGUGCGGGUGCGGGUGGGGGGUGGGGUGGGGGCUGGCGUCGUUUUGGCACCAACUGCACCAUCAUUUCACUCUCCACGCAGGGUCCCCACCCCGGGGAGCCCAUCGGCGGCGUCGCAGGCCCUGGCCGCGGCGCUAUUGACUGCAGGGAUGAGGCAGAGAGAUGCUGCAGAAGAUGGUGGAUAUGGCUCUGAAGUUUCAGGCCCUCCGGCCCUAUCCAGCCUCCACUUCCUUUAGGAAUACGUUUGACCACUGCCUUUCUUCCUUGGAGUCAUUAACUAAAACCUACAAGUCAUGGGCCAAGAUGAAGGACAAGAACUGCUAUUUAAGAAAUCCAGUGUCUAAUAUAAGCAAAGAUUGCAGUCAUUUCAUUUGUUAA